rnacentral:rRNA from 1 species
GAUGAACGCUGGCGGCGAGCUUAACACAUGCAAGUCGAACGAUGAAGCCCAGCUUGCUGGGUGGAUUAGUGGCGAACGGGUGAGUAACACGUGAGUAACCUGCCCUUAACUCUGGGAUAAGCCUGGGAAACUGGGUCUAAUACCGGAUAGGAGCGCCUACCGCAUGGUGGGUGUUGGAAAGAUUUAUCGGUUUUGGAUGGACUCGCGGCCUAUCAGCUUGUUGGUGAGGUAAUGGCGCACCAAGGCGACGACGGGUAGCCGGCCUGAGAGGGUGACCGGCCAAACUGGGACUGGGACACGGCCCAGACUCCUACGGGAGGCAGCAGUGGGGAAUAUUGCACAAUGGGCGAAAGCCUGAUGCAGCGACGCCGCGUGAGGGAUGACGGCCUUCGGGUUGUAAACCUCUUUCAGUAGGGAAGAAGCGAAAGUGACGGUACCUGCAGAAGAAGCACCGGCUAACUACGUGCCAGCCGCCGCCGUAA